GGGUUGUGAGGUUAAGCGACUAAGCGUACACGGUGGAUGCCCUGGCAGUCAGAGGCGAUGAAGGACGUGCUAAUCUGCGAAAAGCGUCGGUAAGGUGAUAUGAACCGUUAUAGCCGGCGAUGUCCGAAUGGGGAAACCCAGUGCAAUUCGUUGCACUAUCGUUAACUGAAUACAUAGGUUAACGAGGCGAACCGGGGGAACUGAAACAUCUAAGUACCCCGAGGAAAAGAAAUCAACCGAGAUUCCCCCAGUAGCGGCGAGCGAACGGGGAGCAGCCCAGAGUCUGAAUCAGCUUGUGUGUUAGUGGAACGGUCUGGAAAGUCCGACGGUACAGGGUGAUAGUCCCGUACACCAAAAUGCACAGGCUGUGAACUCGAAGAGUAGGGCGGGACACGUGGUAUCCUGUCUGAAUAUGGGGGGACCAUCCUCCAAGGCUAAAUACUCCUGACUGACCGAUAGUGAACCAGUACCGUGAGGGAAAGGCGAAAAGAACCCCGGCGAGGGGAGUGAAAAAGAACCUGAAACCGUGUACGUACAAGCAGUGGGAGCACCUUCGGGUGUGACUGCGUACCUUUUGUAUAAUGGGUCAGCGACUUAUAUUCUGUAGCAAGGUUAACCGUAUAGGGGAGCCGCAGGGAAACCGAGUCUUAACUGGGCGUUAAGUUGCAGGGUAUAGACCCGAAACCCGGUGAUCUAGCCAUGGGCAGGUUGAAGGUUGGGUAACACUAACUGGAGGACCGAACCGACUAAUGUUGAAAAAUUAGCGGAUGACUUGUGGCUGGGGGUGAAAGGCCAAUCAAACCGGGAGAUAGCUGGUUCUCCCCGAAAGCUAUUUAGGUAGCGCCUCGUGAACUCAUCUUCGGGGGUAGAGCACUGUUUCGGCUAGGGGGUCAUCCCGACUUACCAACCCGAUGCAAACUACGAAUACCGAAGAAUGUUAUCACGGGAGACACACGGCGGGUGCUAACGUCCGUCGUGAAGAGGGAAACAACCCAGACCGCCAGCUAAGGUCCCAAAGUCAUGGUUAAGUGGGAAACGAUGUGGGAAGGCACAGACAGCCAGGAUGUUGGCUUAGAAGCAGCCAUCAUUUAAAGAAAGCGUAAUAGCUCACUGGUCGAGUCGGCCUGCGCGGAAGAUGUAACGGGGCUAAACCAUGCACCGAAGCUGCGGCAGCGACACGAUGUGUUGUUGGGUAGGGGAGCGUUCUGUAAGCCUGCGAAGGUGACCUGUGAGGGUUGCUGGAGGUAUCAGAAGUGCGAAUGCUGACAUAAGUAACGAUAAAGCGGGUGAAAAGCCCGCUCGCCGGAAGACCAAGGGUUCCUGUCCAACGUUAAUCGGGGCAGGGUGAGUCGACCCCUAAGGCGAGGCCGAAAGGCGUAGUCGAUGGGAAACAGGUUAAUAUUCCUGUACUUGGUGUUACUGCGAAGGGGGGACGGAGAAGGCUAUGUUAGCCGGGCGACGGUUGUCCCGGUUUAAGCAUGUAGGCUGGUUAUCCAGGCAAAUCCGGAUAAUCAAGGCUGAGGUGUGAUGACGAGGUACUACGGUGCUGAAGUAACAAAUGCCCUGCUUCCAGGAAAAGCCUCUAAGCAUCAGGUAACAUCAAAUCGUACCCCAAACCGACACAGGUGGUCAGGUAGAGAAUACCAAGGCGCUUGAGAGAACUCGGGUGAAGGAACUAGGCAAAAUGGUGCCGUAACUUCGGGAGAAGGCACGCUGGUGUGUAGGUGAAGUCCCUGCGGAUGGAGCUGAGACCAGUCGAAGAUACCAGCUGGCUGCAACUGUUUAUUAAAAACACAGCACUGUGCAAACACGAAAGUGGACGUAUACGGUGUGACGCCUGCCCGGUGCCGGAAGGUUAAUUGAUGGGGUUAUCCGUAAGGAGAAGCUCUUGAUCGAAGCCCCGGUAAACGGCGGCCGUAACUAUAACGGUCCUAAGGUAGCGAAAUUCCUUGUCGGGUAAGUUCCGACCUGCACGAAUGGCGUAAUGAUGGCCAGGCUGUCUCCACCCGAGACUCAGUGAAAUUGAACUCGCUGUGAAGAUGCAGUGUACCCGCGGCAAGACGGAAAGACCCCGUGAACCUUUACUAUAGCUUGACACUGAACAUUGAGCCUUGAUGUGUAGGAUAGGUGGGAGGCUUUGAAGCGUGGACGCCAGUCUGCGUGGAGCCAACCUUGAAAUACCACCCUUUAAUGUUUGAUGUUCUAACGUGGGCCCCUGACCGGGGUUGCGGACAGUGUCUGGUGGGUAGUUUGACUGGGGCGGUCUCCUCCCAAAGCGUAACGGAGGAGCACGAAGGUUAGCUAAUCCUGGUCGGACAUCAGGAGGUUAGUGCAAUGGCAUAAGCUAGCUUGACUGCGAGCGUGACGGCGCGAGCAGGUGCGAAAGCAGGUCAUAGUGAUCCGGUGGUUCUGAAUGGAAGGGCCAUCGCUCAACGGAUAAAAGGUACUCCGGGGAUAACAGGCUGAUACCGCCCAAGAGUUCAUAUCGACGGCGGUGUUUGGCACCUCGAUGUCGGCUCAUCACAUCCUGGGGCUGAAGUAGGUCCCAAGGGUAUGGCUGUUCGCCAUUUAAAGUGGUACGCGAGCUGGGUUUAGAACGUCGUGAGACAGUUCGGUCCCUAUCUGCCGUGGGCGCUGGAGAAUUGAGGGGGGCUGCUCCUAGUACGAGAGGACCGGAGUGGACGCAUCACUGGUGUUCGGGUUGUCAUGCCAAUGGCACUGCCCGGUAGCUAAAUGCGGAAGAGAUAAGUGCUGAAAGCAUCUAAGCACGAAACUUGCCCCGAGAUGAGUUCUCCCUGAGACUUUAAGUCUCCUGAAGGAACGUUGAAGACGACGACGUUGAUAGGCCGGGUGUGUAAGCGCAGCGAUGCGUUGAGCUAACCGGUACUAAUGAACCGUGAGGCUUAACCUUACAACGCCGAAG
rnacentral:rRNA from 1 species